AGAGGAAUUUCAGUUUUUUGCGUUAUUAUCAUAUGGCAGCGCUCUAUUUCGUCGUAAUUUUUGGUAAACAAAUGAGGUUCAAGCGAGUGUAAAAUGUAAUUAAAAAAAAAAUUUAAGGAAAAACUGCAAAGAAAUUAGCAGAAAUGUUUUCAACUCAGCUUAGAACUACUUACAUAAUUAUUAUUCCCGCGAAGAAUCGAAAAGUAUUAAAAGAGCACAAAUACUUCUCGCGCGAAGCCAAAAACAUAAAAAUCCUUUGCUGUCUGGAUAAACUCCAGAGAAGCGACGUGCCUUUGCUAUUAACAAUGUUUACAGUCCCACUGCGUGCUGGGACGACGUACUUUUCUCCGUCGAGACCAUAAUAAUGUUAUCAAGAUGGACCCAACAAAGUUUAGAGGAAGCCAAACAUCUCUGCAACAGGAGAACACCAUACCAACAGUAAAGCUUGGCUACCUCUCGGUAAUGAUUGCAUUUUAUCGAAAAAGGUUAGAGAGUUGCAGAUAUUAUGUAUAUAAUCGUCAAGGAGAGAGAUAUAAUUUGGAUUUGUUGACUCCAAAACACAAAAUAUGUGCAGAUGUUGGCUGUUGCACAAUUGCAGCAGAGUUAUUGAUACACCUGCGCAGAGUCCUGACUUAAACCCAAAAUAGAAAACUGCUCAUUUGUUGAAAACAAUCAAUUCGACAUCGGAUCAAAAAUUUUAUAGCUGUCAGGAAAGAGCUAUGAGAGAAAGAACUAAAUACAUCGCAUUAAAUCUUCCUAACAAUUCGAAUAUAAAACUACUGCUUGAAAGCCUCGAACUUUUUUAAUAAAGUAUGAAGUAAAUUAUUAUUAGUAAUAUUUUGUUAUUUAUGCGAAUGAAGUAAUAUCCACAAAAUGUAAUUUUUUUACUACUAUUUCGACAUCAUUUCUAUUUAUAAACAUUAUCCGAAAUUCUUAAUGACAAAUUUUUGGUAUGCAGAAGAAUCAAUUAUGUAUAUAUUUUACCGUGUUUAUAAUUGCAUCGCUAUUUUUAAAUUCCCUAUAACCCCA